GAUAAAUAAAUAAUCAAUUUUAUUUUCAUCUGUUUUUAUUAAAAAUUAUGCGAAUUUUAUUUCGUUAGUUUUGAACUCAAUUUGAUCAUCUAAAAAUAUCUAAGGGGUAUGUGAGAAUUUAAAUAAAAUAAAAACCCUACUUGCCUAAUAUUUAAGCUUAGCAUUGAUGCAUUUAGAAGGCAUCAUAAGUCGCCCAUAUUUCAUCUCUCAUCCAUAAUUAUUUCAAUUCGAAAUGAAACAAAAACAAAAAUAAAAAAAAUAAAAGAAGAAGACUCAGCUUCUUCGUUGGAACCUGCCAACAUCUU
rnacentral:lncRNA from 1 species